ACUCCUACGGGAGGCAGCAGUGGGAAUAUUGCACAAUGGGCGCAAGCCUGAUGCAGCCAUGCCGCGUGUAUGAAGAAGGCCUUCGGGUUGUAAAGUACUUUCAGUCAGAUGAGGAAGGCGGGUACGUUAAUAGCGUGCUCGUUUGACGUUAGCUGCAGUAAGAAGCAUCCGGCUAACUCCGUGCCAGCAGCCGCGGUAAUACGGAGGGUGCGAGCGUUAAUCGGAAUUACGUGGGCGUAAAAGCGCAAUUGCAGGUGGGUUUGUUAAAGUCAGAUGUGUAAAG
rnacentral:rRNA from 1 species